rnacentral:rRNA from 1 species
CCUACGGGUGGCAGCAGUGAGGAAUAUUGGUCAAUGGGCGCGAGCCUGAACCAGCCAAGUAGCGUGAAGGAUGACUGCCCUACGGGUUGUAAACUUCUUUUAUAAAGGAAUAAAGUGAGGCACGUGUGCCUUUCUGUAUGUAUUUUAUGAAUAAGGAUCGGCUAACUCCGUACCAGCAGCCGCGGUAAUACGGAGGAUCCGAGCGUUUUCCGGAUUUAUGGGGUUUAAGGGGAGCGUAGAUGGGUUGUUAAGUCAGUUGUGAAAGUUUGCGGCUAAACCGUAAAAUUGCAAUUGAUACUGGCAGCCUUGAGUGCAGUUGCGGUAGGCGGAAUGCGUGGUGUAGCGGUGAAAUGCUUAGAUAUCACGAAGAACUCCGAUUGCGAAGGCAGCCUACUAAACUGCCACUGACAUUGAUGCUCGAAAGCGUGGGGAGCAAACAGGAUUAGAUACCCGGGUAGUC